rnacentral:rRNA from 1 species
ACAAGGUUUCCGUAGGUGAACCUGCGGAAGGAUCAUAG